GUUCGGGUUGUCAUGCCAAUGGCACUGCCCGGUAGCUAAAUGCGGAAGAGAUAAGUGCUGAAAGCAUCUAAGCACGAAACUUGCCCCGAGAUGAGUUCUCCCUGAGACUAUAAGUCUCCUGAAGGAACGUUGAAGACGACGACGUUGAUAGGCCGGGUGUGUAAGCGCAGCGAUGCGUUGAGCUAACCGGUACUAAUGAACCGUGAGGCUUAACCUUAC
rnacentral:rRNA from 1 species